ACAGGAUAGGUGGGAGGCUUUGAAACCAGGACGCCAGUUUUGGCGGAGCCAUCCUUGGGAUACCACCCUUGUAGUACUGGGACUCUAACCAUAGGCCAUGAAUCUGGUCUUGGGACACUGUCAGGUGGGCAGUUUGACUGGGGCGGUCGCCUCCCAAAAGGUAACGGAGGCGCUCAAAGGUUCUCUCAGUACGGUCGGAAAUCGUACGUAGAGUGUAAAGGCAAAAGAGAGCUUGAUUGCAAGACAUACAGGUCGAGCAAGGAUGAAAAUCGGACUUAGUGAUCCGGUGGUUCUGCGUGGAAGGGCCAUCGCUCAACGGAUAAAAGCUACCCUGGGGAUAACAGGCUUAUCUCCCCCAAGAGUCCACAUCGACGGGGAGGUUUGGCACCUCGAUGUCGGCUCAUCACAUCCUGGGGCUGUAGUAGGUCCCAAGGGUUGGGCUGUUCGCCCAUUAAAGUGGUACGCGAGCUGGGUUCAGAACGUCGUGAGACAGUUCGGUCCCUAUCCGUCGCAGGCGUAGGAAAUUUGAGAAGACCUGUCCUUAGUACGAGAGGACCGGGAUGGACG
rnacentral:rRNA from 1 species